rnacentral:tRNA from 1 species
GGGGUCGUGGUGUCAACGGUAGCACAGCACUCUUUUAAAGUGCUUGGUGGAGGUUCGAAUCCUCCCGGCCUCAC